GGAUGUGAGGGUGACCUGGCUGUGACAUCUGUCACCCCAUUGAUCACCAGGGUUGAUUUGGCUGAGCUGGCCAGCUAGGCUGGGGUCCCCUUCCUCCCUCAACGCUCCGCGUGCGUCCUCCCGAAGCUACACUCUGGGUUGAAGAGGACGACCACCCAAUAGAGGAGGACCGUCCCUCGGGCCAGGGUGUCUGAGUAGUUGUGCUCCCCUGCUAGAACCUCCAAACAAGCUCUGAAGUAUGAGACAAAUUUCUACAGCUUAUGGUUUUACAUUUACUUUGUCAUAGUCUGU
rnacentral:snRNA from 1 species